rnacentral:rRNA from 1 species
ACUCAAAGGAAUUGACGGGGGCCCGCACAAGCGGCGGAGCAUGUUGCUUAAUUCGACGCAACGCGAAGAACCUUACCAAGGCUUGACAUCGCCCGGAAAGCUCUGGAGACAGAGCCCUCCUUUGGACUGGGUGACAGGUGGUGCAUGGCUGUCGUCAGCUCGUGUCGUGAGAUGUUGGGUUAAGUCCCGCAACGAGCGCAACCCUUGUUCCAUGUUGCCAGCACGCCUCGUUUGGGGUGGUGGGGACUCAUGGGAGACUGCCGGGGUCAACUCGGAGGAAGGUGGGGAUGACGUCAAGUCAUCAUGCCCCUUAUGUCUUGGGCUGCAAACAUGCUACAAUGGUCGGUACAGAGGGUUGCGAUGCCGUGAGGUGGAGCGAAUCCCUAAAAGCCGGUCUCAGUUCGGAUUGGGGUCUGCAACUCGACCCCAUGAAGUCGGAGUCGCUAGUAAUCGCAGAUCAGCAAUGCUGCGGUGAAUACGUUCCCGGGCCUUGCACACACCGCCCGU